rnacentral:rRNA from 1 species
UACAGAGGGUGCAAGCGUUAAUCGGAAUUACUGGGCGUAAAGCGCGCGUAGGUGGUUUGUUAAGUUGGAUGUGAAAGCCCCGGGCUCAACCUGGGAACUGCAUUCAAAACUGACAAGCUAGAGUAUGGUAGAGGGUGGUGGAAUUUCCUGUGUAGCGGUGAAAUGCGUAGAUAUAGGAAGGAACACCAGUGGCGAAGGCGACCACCUGGACUGAUACUGACACUGAGGUGCGAAAGCCGUGGGGAGCAAACAG